CUCAUCCUCGGAAGUGCUCUGCACCAAUUGUGUCGGCUAACGGGGAUAUCACUGUGUGCUCGGUCGCAUAGGCCUCCACACAGGCAUAGAGCAGUACACUGUAGAGCAGCCUUCACACAUUUACACUGCCCCCUGCAUCUUUUCUUGCUACGAAUGUGGCAGAGUUUAUUUCUUGUCUUUACCCAGAACCGUCAACUCGUCCAUUAUGAAUAGGUUAUUUUGCCAUUCUUUAUUAACAUACUGAAGAAAGAAUCCCCAUUUGCAGGUGACAUGAUGCAACAUCUUCCCGAGGCAGUGGACCAGAAGGUAUGACACUGUAGACACUGGGAAGAAUACUUUCCUACCAUCACCAAGUGGCAUCAUCAACAUAACCAGCCAACUGAAGUUAACCAGAGAUGGACACAAACUUCACCUGCUGCUGUAUGGUUCUUUCUCCAUCACUGCCUUAAGUGGACCUGAAUUGAGCUGGACCUGAUGUGAACUAGACUAAAGUGAGCUGGACCUCAGGUGAACUGGAACUAAAGUUAACUAAACCUGAUGUUACUGCACCUGCAAGUAAAGUAGACCUAAAGGACUAUCUGGUAUUUAUUUAAUAUUGUUCUGGUUGUAAUAUUAGGAAGGUUCUACCGGCAUUCCCUAGUUUUUAAGAGUUCUGUUCCUGAAAAACCACCCCACCAUCCCCUCCCCCCAGCUAGAAGGUGAUAGGAUAUUUAUGGUAAAGGUGUUUUUUGGCUUAUAACUUGCAUUGCUGGAAUCCUUGCAAGAUAGCAAUUAAAUUGAGUAUAAACAUCUCACAGUUUGCACUAGAGAUAAUUUUUUUUAGUCCUUUAGCCAAGUACAUUUGAGUACAGAGUGAGUACAGUUAUAUGUUGCUGAAAAUUAUGGCUUUUUCACAGGGAAACGUCUGUAUAACUAUCCCCAGUAGUUAGGAUAUUAUGUACUGUAUUUUGGGUGUUUUUUAUAUAAUUAUUUAUCGUUUUUAUACGUUUAGUACAUUUGCUGGAAGAUUUUUACAGCUGGUCCCUCCUUUUAGUUUUGAUUUUUGAGGGUUCACUGUAAUUGUCCUAGGGCAAAUGCUUGAAGGGAAUAUACAUUUAUUUGCACACAAGUAAAAUUUACCUUCCCCCCCCUUCAACCCAUCAGCAAAUGAUAUUCACGGAUUUGGCAAUUUACAGCUGUUUUGAGACCCAAACUCCACGAAUUUUAAGGACAUGCUGUACUGUAUGUAUAAUAUUUUUUUAGGGAUUAAAAUUCUUGCGUUUCCGUGGAUCAUUACGAUGAAAGAUAGCUCCCUGGUACAGUACAGAGUGAGGGAUUGCCGGUUGUAUGACUUCAGACUACUAAAGUUGAUUGAAAGGAAUGGCUGUAUUUUACCAAGUUAAUGGAUAGGGGAACUGCCGGAGAUAUGAUUGAUGAGUAUUACAGUGAAGGAGGGAAAGCUGUUGGAUGUAUGACUAAAGACAAUACUGAAAUAUGAG